rnacentral:rRNA from 1 species
CCCGUUGGCGGGUGCUUACCAUGCAAGUCGAACGGUGAACACGGAGCUUGCUCUGUGGGAUCAGUGGCGAACGGGUGAGUAACACGUGAGCAACCUGCCCCUGACUCUGGGAUAAGCGCUGGAAACGGCGUCUAAUACUGGAUACGAGUAGCGGCCGCAUGGUCAGUUACUGGAAAGAUUUUUUGGUUGGGGAUGGGCUCGCGGCCUAUCAGCUUGUUGGUGAGGUAAUGGCUCACCAAGGCGUCGACGGGUAGCCGGCCUGAGAGGGUGACCGGCCACACUGGGACUGAGACACGGCCCAGACUCCUACGGGAGGCAGCAGUGGGGAAUAUUGCACAAUGGGCGGAAGCCUGAUGCAGCAACGCCGCGUGAGGGAUGACGGCCUUCGGGUUGUAAACCUCUUUUAGCAGGGAAGAAGCGAAAGUGACGGUACCUGCAGAAAAAGCGCCGGCUAACUACGUGCCAGCAGCCGCGGUAAUACGUAGGGCGCAAGCGUUAUCCGGAAUUAUUGGGCGUAAAGAGCUCGUAGGCGGUUUGUCGCGUCUGCUGUGAAAUCCCGAGGCUCAACCUCGGGCCUGCAGUGGGUACGGGCAGACUAGAGUGCGGUAGGGGAGAUUGGAAUUCCUGGUGUAGCGGUGGAAUGCGCAGAUAUCAGGAGGAACACCGAUGGCGAAGGCAGAUCUCUGGGCCGUAACUGACGCUGAGGAGCGAAAGGGUGGGGAGCAAACAGGCUUAGAUACCCUGGUAGUCCACCCCGUAAACGUUGGGAACUAGUUGUGGGGUCCAUUCCACGGAUUCCGUGACGCAGCUAACGCAUUAAGUUCCCCGCCUGGGGAGUACGGCCGCAAGGCUAAAACUCAAAGGAAUUGACGGGGACCCGCACAAGCGGCGGAGCAUGCGGAUUAAUUCGAUGCAACGCGAAGAACCUUACCAAGGCUUGACAUAUACGAGAACGGGCCAGAAAUGGUCAACUCUUUGGACACUCGUAAACAGGUGGUGC